UACGUAGGGGGCAAGCGUUGUCCGGAAUCAUUGGGCGUAAAGAGCGUGUAGGCGGCCCGGCAGGUCCGUUGUGAAAGUCCAGGGCUCAACCCUGGGAUGCCGGUGGAUACUGUCGGGCUCGAGUCCGGAAGAGGCGAGUGGAAUUCCUGGUGUAGCGGUGAAAUGCGCAGAUAUCAGGAGGAACACCAAUGGCGAAGGCAGCUCGCUGGGACGUGACUGACGCUGAGACGCGAAAGCGUGGGGAGCAAACAGG
rnacentral:rRNA from 1 species